GAUUAAAUGGCUGAAAUUUAGGCGAUAGACUGUAAAUCUAUUUAUGGAAUAAUUUAUUUCUUUAAUCA
rnacentral:tRNA from 1 species